GACGAACGCUGGCGGCGCGCCUAACACAUGCAAGUCGAACGGAGCUGAGAGAAGCUUGCUUUUCUUAGCUUAGUGGCGAACGGGUGAGUAACGCGUGAGUAACCUGCCCUGGAGUGGGGGACAACAGUUGGAAACGACUGCUAAUACCGCAUAAGCCCACGAUCCGGCAUCGGAUUGAGGGAAAAGGAUUUAUUCGCUUCAGGAUGGACUCGCGUCCAAUUAGCUAGUUGGAGAGGUAACGGCCCACCAAGGCGACGAUUGGUAGCCGGACUGAGAGGUUGAACGGCCACAUUGGGACUGAGACACGGCCCAGACUCCUACGGGAGGCAGCAGUGGGGGAUAUUGCACAAUGGGGGAAACCCUGAUGCAGCGACGCCGCGUGGAGGAAGAAGGUUUUCGGAUUGUAAACUCCUGUCGUUAGGGACGAUAAUGACGGUACCUAACAAGAAAGCACCGGCUAACUACGUG
rnacentral:rRNA from 1 species